CCCUUAGAUGUUCUGGGCCGCACGCGCGCUACACUGACGAAUGCAACGAGCUUAUAACCUUGGCCGAAAGGUCUGGGUAAUCUCCAAAUUUCGUCGUGAUGGGGAUAGAUUAUUGCAAUUAUUAAUCUUCAACGAGGAAUGCCUAGUAAGCGCAAGUCAUCGGCUUGCGUUGAUUACGUCCCUGCCCUUUGUACACACCGCCCGUCGCUCCUACCGAUUGAAUGGUCCGGUGAAGCGCUCGGACCGCGGCCUCUUGACGGUUUUCCGUCGAUUGGCUGUGGGAAGUUCGUUAAACCUUAUCAUUUAGAGGAAGGAGAAGUCGUAACA
rnacentral:rRNA from 1 species